rnacentral:rRNA from 1 species
UUACCUACGGGGCGCAGCAGUGAGGAAUAUUGGUCAAUGGCCGAGAGGCUGAACCAGCCAAGUCGCGUGAGGGAAGACGGCCCUACGGGUUGUAAACCUCUUUUGUCGGGGAGCAAAGCGAACCACGUGUGGUUCAUUGAGAGUACCCGAAGAAAAAGCAUCGGCCAACUCCGUGCCAGCAGCCGCGGUAAUACGGAGGAUGCGAGCGUUAUCCGGAUUUAUUGGGUUUAAAGGGUGCGUAGGUGGUUAAUUAAGUCAGCGGUGAAAGUUUGUGGCUCAACCAUAAAAUUGCCGUUGAAACUGGU